UGCAGUCGACGGAGAAUUUCAAUAAGUUUACUUAGAGAAAUUUUUAGUGGCGGACGGGUGAGUAACGCGUGGGUAACCUACCCAUAAAGCCGGGACAACCCUUGGAAACGAGGGCUAAUACCGGAUAAUCUUAAGCUUUGGCAUCAAAGUUUAAGGAAAGGUGGCCUCUGAGUAUGCUACCGAUUAUGGAUGGACCCGCGUCUGAUUAGCUAGUUGGUGGGGUAAAGGCCUACCAAGGCGACGAUCAGUAGCCGGCCUGAGAGGGUGAACGGCCACACUGGGACUGAGACACGGCCCAGACUCCUACGGGAGGCAGCAGUGGGGAAUCUUCCGCAAUGGACGAAAGUCUGACGGAGCAACGCCGCGUGUAUGAUGAAGGUCUUCGGAUUGUAAAGUACUGUCUUUGGGGAAGAAUGACUGGUUUGAAAAUAUUGAGCCAGUAUGACGGUACCCAAGGAGGAAGCCCCGGCUAACUACGUGCCAGCAGCCGCGGUAAUACGUAGGGGGCAAGCGUUGUCCGGAAUUAUUGGGCGUAAAGGGCGCGUAGGCGGAUGUUUAAGUCCGGUGUGAAAGAUCAGGGCUCAACCCUGAGAGUGCAUCGGAAACUGGGCAUCUUGAGGACAGGAGAGGAAAGUGGAAUUC
rnacentral:rRNA from 1 species